rnacentral:rRNA from 1 species
UGGGGGAUAUUGCACAAUGGAGGAAACUCUGAUGCAGCGACGCCGCGUGAGUGAAGAAGUAUUUCGGUAUGUAAAGCUCUAUCAGCAGGGAAGAAAAUGACGGUACCUGACUAAGAAGCCCCGGCUAACUACGUGCCAGCAGCCGCGGUAAUACGUAGGGGGCAAGCGUUAUCCGGAUUUACUGGGUGUAAAGGGAGCGUAGACGGCGACGCAAGUCUGAAGUGAAAUACCCGGGCUCAACCUGGGAACUGCUUUGGAAACUGUGUUGCUAGAGUGCUGGAGAGGUAAGCGGAAUUCCUAGUGUAGCGGUGAAAUGCGUAGAUAUUAGGAAGAACACCAGUGGCGAAGGCGGCUUACUGGACAGUAACUGACGUUGAGGCUCGAAAGCGUGGGGAGCAAACA